rnacentral:rRNA from 1 species
GACGAACGCUGGCGGCGUGCUUAACACAUGCAAGUCGAACGGUAAGGCCCUUCGGGAUACACGAGUGGCGAACGGGUGAGUAACCCGUGGAUGAUCUGCCCUGCACUUCGGGCUAAGCCUGGGAAACUGGGUCUAAUACCGGAUAGGACCACUGCCUGCAUGGGUGGGGGUGGAAAGCUUUUGCGGUGUGGGAUGGGCCCGCGGCCUAUCAGCUUGUUGGUGGGGUGAUGGCCUACCAAGGCGACGACGGGUAGCCGGCCUGAGAGGGUGACCGGCCACACUGGGACUGAGAUACGGCCCAGACUCCUACGGGAGGCAGCAGUGGGGAAUAUUGCACAAUGGGCGCAAGCCUGAUGCAGCGACGCCGCGUGAGGGAUGACGGCCUUCGGGUUGUAAACCUCUUUCAGCACCGACGAAGCGCAAGUGACGGUAGGUGCAGAAGAAGGACCGGCCAACUACGUGCCAGCCGCCGCCGUAA